AUUGAACGCUGGCGGCAGGCUUAACACAUGCAAGUCGAGCGGGGGAAGGUAGCUUGCUACCGGACCUAGCGGCGGACGGGUGAGUAAUGCUUAGGAAUCUGCCUAUUAGUGGGGGACAACAUCUCGAAAGGGAUGCUAAUACCGCAUACGUCCUACGGGAGAAAGCAGGGGAUCUUCGGACCUUGCGCUAAUAGAUGAGCCUAAGGCGGAUUAGCUAGUUGGUGGGGUAAAGGCCUACCAAGGCGACGAGCUGUAGCGGGUCUGAGAGGAUGAGCCGCCACACUGAGACUGCGUCACGGCCCAGCCUCCUACGGGAGGCAGCAGUGGGGAAUAUUGUACAAUGGGGGGAACCCUGAUCCAGCCAUGCCGCGUGUGUGAAGAAGGCCUUAUGGUUGUAAAGCACUUUAAGCGAGGAGGAGGCUACUUUAGUUAAUACCUAGAGAUAGUGGACGUUACUCGCAGAAUAAGCACCGGCUAACUCUGUGCCAGCCGCCGCCGUAA
rnacentral:rRNA from 1 species